UUUCCGUAGGUGAACCUGCGGAAGGAUCAUUAACACAAUACAUCCCAUUGUAUCAACCCUUUGCGAACCGAUUCUCGUCUCAGGAGAGCGAGCUGUUGGCCUUCACUGGUCAGCGCUUGCGAUCCGCUUUUUUAACUACCAAUUUUCAACCCUUAACAUGUUCAGUCUAAACUUUAAUUAUUUACAAAACGCUGUACAACUCUUAGCAACGGAUAUCUUGGUUCUC
rnacentral:misc_RNA from 1 species